UUACGUUUCUGAAAACCGUAAUUUCGACGUUUACUUCAACCGUGGAAUAUCCGGAUCAUAAUCACUAACAGAAAACGUUGAUGAGCGCAGUCGAAAAAACCUAUAUCAGGGCGGACAUUUUUCACGAGAAAAAACGUAUGUGCUGAACGAUUAUUCAACUAUAUACAACGUUACUUUUCGACGAAUUUCUUACGAUUUAUUUACCAGCAAUGUUUAUUGGGAUGUCCGCUCCCGGCAUGCGAUC